UUGGGCCUACGGGGGGCAGCAGUGGGGAAUAUUGCACAAUGGGGGAAACCCUGAUGCAGCGACGCCGCGUGAGUGAAGAAGUAUUUCGGUAUGUAAAGCUCUAUCAGCAGGGAAGAAAAUGACGGUACCUGACUAAGAAGCCCCGGCUAACUACGUGCCAGCAGCCGCGGUAAUACGUAGGGGGCAAGCGUUAUCUGGAUUUACUGGGUGUAAAGGGAGCGUAGGUGGCAUGGUAAGCCAGAAGUGAAAACCC
rnacentral:rRNA from 1 species